AUACAUGCAAGUCGAACGAACUCUGGUAAUGAUUGGUGCUUGCAUCAUGAAUUACAUUUGAGUGAGUGGCGAACUGGUGAGUAACACGUGGGAAACCUGCCCAGAAGCGGGGGAUAACACCUGGAAACAGAUGCUAAUACCGCAUAACAACUUGGACCGCAUGGUCCGAGCUUGAAAGAUGGCUUCGGCUAUCACUUUUGGAUGGUCCCGCGGCGUAUUAGCUAGAUGGUGAGGUAACGGCUCACCAUGGCAAUGAUACGUAGCCGACCUGAGAGGGUAAUCGGCCACAUUGGGACUGAGACACGGCCCAAACUCCUACGGGAGGCAGCAGUAGGGAAUCUUCCACAAUGGACGAAAGUCUGAUGGAGCAACGCCGCGUGAGUGAAGAAGGGUUUCGGCUCGUAAAACUCUGUUGUUAAAGAAGAACAUAUCUGAGAGUAACUGUUCAGGUAUUGACGGUAUUUAACCAGAAAGCCACGGCUAACUACGUGCCAGCAGCCGCGGUAAUACGUAGGUGGCAAGCGUUGUCCGGAUUUAUUGGGCGUAAAGCGAGCGCAGGCGGUUUUUUAAGUCUGAUGUGAAAGCCUUCGGCUCAACCGAAGAAGUGCAUCGGAAACUGGGAAACUUGAGUGCAGAAGAGGACAGUGGAACUCCAUGUGUAGCGGUGAAAUGCGUAGAUAUAUGGAAGAACACCAGUGGCGAAGGCGGCUGUCUGGCUGUAACUGACGCUGAGGCUCGAAA
rnacentral:rRNA from 1 species